rnacentral:lncRNA from 1 species
CAUAAAGACAGAAAAAGCCCAUGUUCUGAUUGGUUAGAUAUCUGAUUAUUGUUGACCUCUACAGGGUCCAGCUGGGCUACCAGGUCUGACGGGACCAAAAGGUGAAAAGGGAGAACUGGGAAGACCUGGACAAAAGGGUCGGACGGGGCCUCCAGGUCUCCCGGGGCGCCAGGGACCAGCCGGGUGGCCAGGACCAAAUGGGCCCAAGGGGG